UGUGAUUUUCCACAGUAAGAACAAAGGGCUUUCCUUCCACAUGGCAGAGGAUAUAAAAUGCCAUGGAAACCCCUCCAUUUUGUCUUCAGUCCUACUUCUUACCUCUGGAGGAACUUUGCUGCAAACUUAAGCUCUGAACAAAGGCCUAAAUGACCCAUCCAAGCUGUGGAUAUGUUCCAGAGACUUUAUUUGAACCUGCAGUCUAUUCCAUCACUGCUACAA